CAGAGGCCAAGCUACCAUUUCCCCUGUUCCAUUUCUAUUUUUUUUCUUCCGCUUCUUUAUUCUUCUUUUCCGUCUCGAACAAACCCAGAACCAAAACGAAAUGAAGGUUGACUUGAAGGCUGAAAUUGAAUUAGAGUUGGACUUGGAGAUGGGCACGCAGAAGCUUCCACGAAGCAAAUGGGAGAUAGGGUCGUGUCUUUAUUCUUGGCGAGGGACCUCUUGAUUUGUCAUUUGUGUUUCCUCAGGCCAACAACACAUUUGUGAGGCCGAAGCGAUGCCAUCUCACAGCAGUAAUUUUGAGCACCAUCAUCCAAAAUAUGUGAUGGAAUCACGGUGUGGGGAUCGCUGUUUCUCAUUGCUCCAUUUGUAGAGCGGCAAUAUAAUGCCCACCAACUAUUCGAUGAAAGGCCAAAGACAAAGUCUGCAGCAAUCUCCCUGCUAGAUUUUGGCAAAGGCGCAAUUAGAUCACCAAGCUUCACUUUCUUGGCCUCCUCUUUCAUGGCUUCAAUGGUGCUCCUUCAUCAUGGAGAAUAGAUUUAGCUUUGUGCAGGCCUCAAUUUGAAGAAGAAAAAUUAACUUCCAUAUUGCUUAUUAUUUGCGGGUGUCAUAAGGAGGACACACAGAUUAUUGCUGACAUUGAGAGUACAGAACAAGUACAGGAGCUGUGGUGGUUGAUAGAGGGUGGAUUGGUGCUUUGUAAACAAGAUAUGAAAUUUGGGCCAAGCUAUUUCGCUAUGACGGUUGACAGAGAGCAGGGAUGGUUAUGGCCUUUGGUUCCCUUUGUUGCCAUUUAGCACCAUCGUACUCCAGCAGCUUUGUAUUUGCUUUGUUGCUGCUGAGAGCGAGCUCGGUGAAGCAUGCAGCUAUGACAUGGUUUCCUAAUGUGCAACUACAAUGAUCUUCGGAGACGCUGCUCCGGCAUGGUCAUCGGAGACGCUGCUCCGGCAUGGUUCAUCGGAGACGCUGCUCCGGCAUGGUUCAUCGGGACGCUGCCCGGCAUGUUCAUCGGGACGCUGCCCGACAUGUUCAUCAGAGACGCUGCUCCGGCAUGUCUUCUUUUAUGCAGCAUCGUUGAGAAACCUGUGAACACAAAGAAAGUGGAGAUCUUUGGAAGGGAGGGAGUCUCAACCUUUGUGGUGAACUUCACGCUGUUGGAUUCUUCUUGCUUGCAGCAGGGCCUCGGCUAUCUUCUCCUCUUUCUGCCUUCGUCCUCCGCGUCCAUAUUGUUGGCUUUAUAUAGUGGACUGAUGGAGAGAUUAACGUAAAUGUUGUUGACUCCCACUUGAAAUGAAAUAGCUAGAGUCUCAUUUUUCCAAGGCUCUUGAAGAUGAUUUGUCCUUGUCUUUGAUUUGAGACGUUCUCUCUUGCUACUCCUAUUCUUUCUCUCUUUUUUUUUAUCAUUAUUUGGCUGGAACUUUAUCUUGUAUAAUAAAGAAAACUCCAAGCAAAGUGUAGCACGGCAUCAUGGAAUUUUGCUCCUUUUUGGCCUCAUAUGUUCAUUAUUAUUAUUAUUUUUUUUAUCUCAACAACUGGACAUGAUAUUCGAUAACGAGAUUAGGAUUCAUUUCGAUGAAGGAUGCACAUUCUCUUCAUUUAAAAUUAUUCAUCCCGAUUGUGCUCCAAUAGAACAAAAUGGAUUCGAUUGUGGCAUUUUUAUGAUUAAAUUCAUGGAGGAUUAUGAGAAUGCAUCCAAAGCAGGGGACAAGUAUCAUUCUGUGAACGAGCGUUUGCGCAUAGGUCUCACCUUGUUGAAACAUCUGGACAACCAAGCACGCAACAAUAUUGCCGAAGCUAGACAAAGGUCACUACAAAAAGUUAUAUGCAAGAAAUGUGGACUAGAGACAAUGAAGACAGAUUAAGACAGUGCAACACGCAGCCAUACCGAUGAAGGUUUGCAAAGGUCUCCAAAGAAAAUGAAGGCAAUCCAAGAAAGAGAUGCAGCCAACGUGAACAAAAAAAAGGGUCCUGGUAGGCCUCGUGGCUUGAAGAAU